CUGUUAAUAACCCCGAAAACACCAACUACCAAACAACAAAUCAUUUUCCCCUCUAAGUAUAGGCGAUAGAAAAGAAACUCAUUAGAGCUAUAGAAAAAGUACCGCAAGGGAAUGCUGAAAAAGAAAUGAAAUAAAUCAGUAAAGUUCAAAAAAGCAGAGACUUACACUCGUACCUUUUGCAUCAUGACUUAGUCAGUAAAACCAAGCAAAGAGCACUUUAGUUUGAUUCCCCGAAACUAGGUGAGCUACUCCAAGACAGCCUAAAAAUAGGGCUAACCCGUCUCUGUGGCAAAAGAGUGGGGAGAUCUUAGAGUAGAGGUGAUAAACCUACCGAACUUAGUUAUAGCUGGUUGCCUAAAAAAUGAAUAGGAGUUCAGCUUUUUGGUUCUCCCCCUCAAAAAUUACUUUAUUUAUACCUGACCCAAGAGACACCAAAAAAGUUAAUUAAAGGAGGUACAGCUCCUUUAAAACAAGAUACAACUUCACUCAGUCGGGUAAAGAUCAUAAUUAUACAAGGCAAAUAUGUUUUAGUGGGCCUGAAAGCAGCCACCUAUAAGAAAGCGUUAAAGCUCAUUCAUAUCCCCGCCCCUAAUUUAGAUAACAAAUCUAAACCCACUAAUUUUAUUAGGCCGCUUCAUGCUUACAUGAAGGCGAUUAUGCUAACAUGAGUAAUAAGAAAAGACAGCUUUUCUCCUUGCACACCUGUAAAUCGAAACGGACCCCCCAUCGAACUUUAAUCGGCCCCAAAAAAAGAGGGUAAUGAGCCAAAAUCUCAGUAACAAGAAAAACACCCAAAUACCAACCGUUAACCCCACACUGGUGUGCUUACAAGGAAAGACUAAAAGAAAAAGAAGGAACUCGGCAAAUACAAGCCUCGCCUGUUUACCAAAAACACCGCCUCUUGUAUAUAGAAAAUAAGAGGUCA
rnacentral:rRNA from 1 species